ACCCCUCGGCUGAUGUGCAGCACUUCCUCCUGUUCAUCAGCCAGCUUCAAAGGUGACUGGGACACAUUCCUUCAGCUUUCACAUCUCUAUGAAGCGCUGUCUGCGUAAGAAGUGACUUGAUCAGAUGAGAUUAAAGGAAAUGAACUGAUAACGUCUUAAAACUCCACGUUUGAACACUAUCCUUCAGCUGUAACUGACUUUGCUGUGAACUAGUGCUAAACGUCCACGUUGCUCCUGUUAUGGCUGCUUGAGGGUGUGUCCUCCCACACAGCUCCACACGCUCUGCGCUCCACCUCAUGCCUGCGACUGAAGGAGCACGUGAGCCUCAAAUGCCAUUUCUGUCUGAACACUGCAGCAGGCUAAUAUUUUGCAUGAAUGUGUUUUGUUGUGGACCAAAUUUAUGGAGCUGAAUGUUUGUGAUCGAGGAGAAUGAUGCUGCCACAGCUGAUUCUGACAGUGUGAAGGUUUCCCAGCUUUCAGACUCUGAGCAGGAUCAGGGGACGAGUCCGCCACAAAUGGAACGUCAGCUGUCAGACAACUCUGCUUCUUCAGUGGGUCCGUCCUGUGGAGACACUCGCUGCAGCGGCCGUGGAAGCUGUGUGCUUCCUGCAGAUGGGGGCGAUGGCCUGCGCUGUGACUGUAAGCUGGGUUACCACGGCAGCUCCUGCGAGCAGACCAUCAACGGGUCGCUGAGCUUAACGCUGACGCUCAGCAUCCUCGGCAUCAUACUCUUCCUGCUGAUCCUCGCGUUUGUCCUGGCCAAGUUACGCCGGAGGAAGAAGAAGGAGAACUGGAAAAAUGAAAAGUCACAAAAUAAUGAAAUGCAACUGAAAUCCUACAUCUGAGAUCAGCCCUGCCUUCACUCUCACACCUAAUGGAUGUGCACCUCAGAGACCUUAGCAUAAUCUUUGUAACACUGAUGCUUUAAAAGGCUUUGAUAUGGUGCCUACAAGGAAAACGUGACACUUUUCCAAUGUUAUUCUUUUCAUGAACCACAUACAACUAAAAAUCAAGUAAAGUAACAAUAAUAAUAUUACCAAACAUAUAGAUAUACUGCUGUGUUGCUGAUCUAUACCCUGACUGACUUAAAGACCGUUACUCUUUUUAUGUAUAUAAUAUAUAUAUAUAUAUAAUACUUUGUGUAGUUUAUAAUGUUAGCUUGUUUACAUUUACACAAAGUCUUUCAAGUGUGGACUUUGCACCUGGAUGCUCUCAUUCUACCUGUGAUGCAAUAGAAUCAAAGUCAGGGGCAGUAAACGCUACCGCUCUGAGCUUAUGUCGGGAGUCAGCUUCAACUUGAGCAAUAGAACUGAAUGGACACACUGAAACUAAGAUGUGCACAAACACACCUUCGCACAUCCUGUUCAUCAUCAUUUUCAAAUUCCUGUCAUGUGGAAAAUAUUUGGCACAUUACGGCAUAGGCCAGAAUGUUCACAAACAGCACCUGACUCUGCUUUGUCCUCCAUGAUGAGUGGGUCUGUGUGCUGUUUACAAUAAUUCUGCUUGGUAAAUAUGACAACAAUACUUCUGUGCUUUGUGUUGUCAAUAUUUCUAAUAAAAUAUACAAACCCCCAACA
ensembl:lncRNA